AGUGUGAGGUUUCAGGAGCUGGCUGGUGGCAACAGGCUCCUCGUCGUUCUGCUGGCUUUUCCAGUACUCCAGCAAAGACUUCAGCACGUGCAGGCAGUAGUCAACAGCACCAGAGCUCAGCAGUGCAGCGGCAGUGGCACUGGAGAUGAGGGAGGAAGACUGAAAGGAAGAGGAGAAGGAUUAGCAGAGCACCUGAGAACCACCAUGUCAGGAGAGCAGCGACAGUCAGACAGCUGACACCACGGCUCAGCCAGGAAGUGCACAGAAAACAAAUUAUUCCAGUCCUCUUCUCACGUUGGUUUCCUGUGUUCUGAGCUUCCAAAAGGUCCUUUUUGGUAAGAGUCAAGUAACACUGUUUUUGCAAGGUAUUUUAAACUGGUUUUCAGUUUUGCACCAUUUAUGUGCACCUUUUAUACCAUCUCUGAUAAGAAUAGCUCCCUAACCACAUCCCACCCCUGAAAAGCACCCUGAAGAACAUACCUCACAAAUGGAAGACUUUGAUCCUGACUUUGUUCUGGACAUGAACACACUAAGCAGCCUCAUUACCACCAGGUGUACUUCAUUCACAGGAGAGCGCUCAUUCUUCUUAGACACAUCCUGCAAAGAGAGAGCUUCCUUACUUACAGAGCAAAGCACACUGUCCUUACACCCACGUUUCAGUGCUCUGACCCUCACAAAGUGUUUCUAAUUUAAGCUCAAGCAAUAACACCAAAAAAAGCAGUCUGAAUUCCUCAGUAUCAGAGCAGACAGUGGCCUGGGGGUCAGAGAACAGUUAUACAGAUGGAUGUGUACAUGUCAGUUAUACAUCACUGAUCAAUCAUCCCUGUUUUAAUUGCUGAAUUUAAGUCAUGCAAGUUUUCAUGCUUACUUGUUGAUGUUGGAAAUAGGUAACAGUGAGUUAUUUCAUACAUUAUGUGAGAUUAACUGUCUGAACAUAUCCAUACAGCAAACUGCUGCUAUGAUUCCCAUGCACCCAACUCCUACAUGGGAAGAAAACCUGUCUAGAAGGAGCAAAUCAAGACCGUGUGCUUGUACUACAGCUUGCCUUUUUCUCCAUGCACAGUUCUGCAAUCAGCUGGGACAGAAGGUUAUCUAAAGCUCCUUUGUCCUUCUCAUCAUCUCCAUCCAGGUCUGUUGUGAGCAUCAGAAUAACCUGGAAAUAGAAGUCAGAAAAUGAACAGAAGGCAGAAUAUGUGUUUUCAAAACAGAUACAAUCUUCCACAAAA